rnacentral:lncRNA from 1 species
AAGGCAACGUUUGUUUGCGGCAACAUUUUAAUUUUCCGGACAAGGCAACUUUUGUUUGCAGAAGAUUGAAAAAAAGACAACCUUUAAAUUUUCGAAAAAAGGCAACCUUUGAUUACAGAAGAUUGAACAAAAGGCAACAUUUUACUUUUCGGGAAAAGGCAACGUUUGUUUGCAGAAGAUUGAAAAAAAGGCAACCUUUAUAUUUUCGGGAAAAGGCAACCAUUGUUUGCAGAAGAUUGAAAAACCUUUAAAUUUUCGGAAAAGGCAACCAUUGUUUGCAGAAGAUUAAAAAAGGGUAACCAUUAUUUGCAGAAGAUUGAAAAAAAAGCAACCUUUAAAUUUUCGGGAAAUGGCAACCAUUGUUUGCAGAAGAUUGAAAAAAGCAACCUUUGUUUGCAGAAGAUUGAACAAAAGGCAACCUUUGUUUGCGGCAACCUUUUAAUUUUCGGGACAAGGCAACGUUUGUUUGUAGAAGAUUGAAAAAAAAGGCAACGUUUGUUUGUAGAAGAUUGAAAAAAGGCAACGUUUGUUUGCAGAAGAUUGAACAAAAGGCAACCUUUUAAUUUUUGGGAAAAAGCAACGUUUGUAGGCAACGUUUGUUUGCAGAAGAUUGAAAAAAAGGUAACCUUUAAAUUUUUGGGAAAAGACAACGUUUGUUUGCAGAAGAUUGAAAAAAAGGUAACCUUUAAAUUUCUGGGAAAAGACAACCUUUGUUUGCAGAAGAUCGAAAACAGGCAACCUUUUAAUUUUCAGGAAAAUGCAACCAUUGUUCGCAGAAGAUUGAAUAAAAGACAACCUUUAAAUUUUCAGGAAAAGGCAACCUUUGUUUGCAGAAGAUUGAAAAAAAGAAACCUUUGUUUGCGGCAACAUUUUAAUUUUCUGGACAAGGCAACUUUUGUUUGCAGAAGAUUGAAAAAAAGGCAACCUUUAAAUUUUCGAAAAAAGGCAACCUUUGAGUACAGAAGAUUGAACAAAAGGCAACGUUUGUUUGCAGAAGAUUGAAAAAAAGGCAACGUUUAUACUUUCGGGAAAAGACAACCAUUGUUUGCAGAAGAUUGAAAAACCUUUAAAUUUUCGGAAAAGGCAACCGUUGUUUGCAGAAGAUUGAAAAAGAGCAACCAUUAUUUGCAGAAGAUUGAACAAAAGGCAAACUUUUAAUUUUCGAGAAAAGGCAACGUUUGUUUGCAGAAGAUUGAACAAAAUGCAACAUUUAAAUUUUCGGGAAAAGGCAACCUUUGUAUGCAGAAGAUUGAAAAAAAGACGACCUUUGUUUGUAGAAGAUUGAAAAAAAGCAACCUUUGUUUGCAAAAGAUUGAACAAAUAGCAACCUUUAAAUUUUCGGGAAAAUUUAAAGCAACUUUUGUUUGUAGAAGAUUGAAAAAAAGCAACCUUUGUUUGCAGAAGAUUGAAAAAACGCAACCUUUGUUUGCAGAAGAUUGAAAAAACGCAACCUUUGUUUGCAGAAGAUUGAACAAAAGGCAACCUUUCAAUUUUCGAGACAAGGCAACGUUUGUUUGCAAAAGAUUGAAAAAAAAGGCAACCUUUAAAUUUUCGGGAAAAAAGCAACCUUUGUUUGCAAAAGAUUGAAAAAAUGGCAACCUUUGUUUGCAGAAGAUUGAACAAAAGGCAACCUUUA